GCCGGCAGCUAGCUCUCUCAGAUGGUCGCCUACUAAAGCUAAGCAGGGCUGCGCCCGAUUAAUACCUGGAUGGGAGACCACAUGGGAAAGCCAGGUUACUGCUGGAA
rnacentral:rRNA from 1 species